GAUAAACGCAAGCGGCAGGCUUAACCCAUGCAAGUCGAGGUGCAGCAUAGAUUGUAGCACUCCCAUUGGUGGCGACCGGCGCACGGGUGCGUAACGCGUAUGCAACAUCCCCGUCACCGGGGGAUAAUCCGGAGACAUCUGGCCCACUACCCCAUAACAUAUGUAUCGGCAUCGGUUCAUGUUGAAAUUCUCGGAGGUGCCGGAUGGGCAUGCGUAACAUUAGCUGGUGGGUGAGGUAACGGCCCACCAAGGCGACGAUGCUUAGGAGGACUGAGAUGUUUUCCCCCCACACUGGUACUGAGACACGGACCAGACUCCUACGGGAGGCAGCAGUGAGGAAUAUUGGUCAAUGGGCGCAAGCCUGAACCAGCCAUGCCGCGUGCAGGAUGACGGCUCUAUGAGUUGUAAACUGCUGUUGUACGAGGGUAAAGUGGGUUACGUGUAACCUUUUGAAAGUAUCGUACGAAUAAGGAUCGGCUAACUCCGUGCCAGCCGCCGCGGUAA
rnacentral:rRNA from 1 species